CCUACGGGAGGCAGCAGUGAGGAAUAUUGGUCAAUGGCCGGAAGGCUGAACCAGCCAUGCCGCGUGAAGGUCAGUGCCCUAUGGGCGUUAAACUUCUUUCGUGCGUGAGCAAUAAUGGUCACGUGUGGCCAGACGAGAGUACCGUACGAAUAAGCAUCGGCUAACUCCGUCCCAGCAGCCGCGGUAAUACGGGGGGUGCAAGCGUUAUCCGGAUUUAGUGGGUUUAAAGGGUGCGUAGGCUGUGAGGUAAGUCAGCGGUGAAAUGCCCCCGCUCAACGGGGUGGAGUGCCAUUGAUACUGCCUAGCUGGAAUGCGGAUGCGGUGGGAGGAAUGUGUGGUGUAGCGGUGAAAUGCAUAGAUAUCAGACAGAACACCGAUUGCGAAGGCAUCUAACGAAUCCGCAAUUGACGCUGAUGCACGAAAGCGUGGGUAUCAAACAGGAUUAGAUACCCCUGUAGUC
rnacentral:rRNA from 1 species